UUUUAGGGCCUCACCUGUGACAUAUGGAGGCUCCCAGGCUAGGGGUCUAAUCAGAGCUGUAGCCACCAGCCUACGCUACAGCCACAGCAACACGGGAUCCAAGUCACAACUGCGACCUACACCCACAGCUCACAGCAAAGCCAGAUCCUUAACCCACUGAGCAAGGCCACAACCUCAUGGUUCCUACCUAGUCAGAUUUGUUUCUGUUGCACCACGAUGAGAACUCCAGGGACCCUUUUAAAAUCAUCAUCAUAAGCAACUCGAAUCCUUUCCUUUCUUGAUCCAGAAGCAGCCAUUUCACAUAGGAUACUGGUUACCUUCAGCACAGCCACACGGCUGCAUCGCACCCCCCUCGCCGCCCCCCGCCCCGGAGUCUGGGCCUCUGAUAAGACACUAUUAAUGAAGGAGUCCGGGUGGAAGGCAGUGCUGCAGCCCCAGCUCAGUCCUUGCCAAAAAAUUAUGCUAAUGCCACACUUUCCACCGUUAACCAUGGGUUCCAUUUCCCUAAGAGGCAGCUGUCAGCACACACCAGCCGUGGUUAACAAUGAGGAGUUUGUGUGCUGAGUAAAUGCCUCCAAUAGCUCCAUUUCUUAUAAUUAACACAGCCCCAAAGACGCUGUAAAGGAGGAGAAUUGCUUGCACAACUUUAUUUAAGCCUUAAUAAAAUUAUUUUCCACUAAAGUAAAACAAAUGGCUUUAUUAACGAUCAGUGCUUAAAUAUCUUUUUAAAAAUAACCUUUUAAAAAAUCUUGACUGUUCACCCAACCAGUUACCAAAGGCAAAAAUAUCCUGAAAAUACUUUCUCGAGCCUAAAUGAUAAAAAAAAAAAGAGCAUUCCAGACCCUGAAAAAAAAAAUCCGAAUUGUUAUCAAUUGUGAUUUAGAAAGUGGCUUCCAUUUCUAAUUUUAAAAGCAAAGUAAUGCUUUUCUCUGUGUAUUUCAGGAUCAAAAGCACUGUGUUGUGUUAUAACACAUUGCUUUUUUUUCUCCAUUAAAUCUGAACACACACUAUAGGAUGUCAAGGGUACAUUUGUAGAAGGAAAUUACUUUUGGAGUGAAAUGAUCAGUGCAAUACUGUUAUAAUAACAACCUAAAUAUAAAUAUGAAUGAUUGCCAAACUAGCUCAGGAAUCCAUUGUAAUUGUAUUAUAUGAUCUCAGGCAGGUAGGAAUAAAAUAUCAAAGAGAGAUGGAAUCGCUUAGAUUUCUGUUUCAUUCCAUUAGAUUUUCCUCCCAAAGUAAUGACUACAGUCAACUGAUCCCACCUUUGUGACUACAAUACACCCAUUUACAGAGCAGCUCCAGCCCUCCACACACCAAGGCUCCAACCAGAGCCAGCUAAAUCUUCUACCAGGACCUAGCCAUCAUGAGUACAGACACUUUCCAUCAUAUGCUUAUUGCAUGAAGCACCCCUAGGAAUGUAGUGAAAGACAGGCAGGAGGAAGAUGCCUAAGAAUCUACCCUGAGAGAAACAAAACAAGGCCAAAAAAAAAUCCUUCCUUAUCAUCAUCAAUGCUGAGCUAAGCUCUGUGCUAAGCACUUGACAGACCUCAUCCCACUGCAUUUCUAUGACAACCUCUGAGGUCGGAACUACUAGUAUCCCCAUUUGACAGCAAAGGCUUGGGGAGGAAGUGACCUGCACCACGUCAUACAGCCAUCAGCAGGUGCUCCUGGAUCUGACUGGGCUGCCUGAGUCUGGAGCCCUUUUGCUCACCACAUACUCCCCACCUUGCUCAGAGAUUCUGGCUUGGGAGCCACAGGUGCAUGGAGAUACUCAACCCUUCAGCUCUCAGUGAACCUCAGGCUGAUCAGUCUGGGGCUACUCAGGGAUGCGACACUAAUCCCAUCACGGGGGCCCCAGCCUCAUAACCUCAUCUAAACCUGAUUACUAUAUGAAGUGCCCACCUCCAAGUACCAUCAAAUUAGGGGUUAGGGCUUCAAUACAUAGAUUUUAGGAGGAUACAAAGAGUCUAUAGCACUGGUCCUCUGAAGUCUGCAGGAAAAAUGGAUGAGAAACAAGUGAUUACAAAAGUAUUCAGCUGCAUUUGUGAUGAAUUUUAUAAGCAGUAAAGUACUAGGUGGUGUGAGAAGGAGCAGGAGAAACUCCUUAACUCAAGGAAAAGAAGGGGUGAGGUCAAAGAAGAUGGUGAGUCUAAGUUAAAAAUGUCUCUGUCACCUUGAACUCAAGAUCAGAAGGCAAAGUGUCAUUUAAGAGGCAAAGGGAAGUUUGUGCAAAGAUGUCAAGGAUUUGAAAUCAACUUACAUGUAUAUGGAGCUCUAAUAUUCCCAUGCAUCAUCUCAGCAGCCCCCAUCCCCAUCAACCCUGAGAGGUCAACAGGAGAGAUGGAAGGCCUUUUUCCAUAGGGGAGAACUGAGCCCAGAUUCACACAUCUGGAGGUGUCAAAGCUGGACUUGAACUUGGCUUCAAGCUCGCAGGAACCCCAGUCCACACUAUCUCAGGGCUCUGUGCACAGUGGGACAGCGAACAGUUUGGAGAGUUUCCUAGGGCCAUUGCAUGUACCAAAACAUCACUGUGAGCCUGGAGGAAGGCUGACCCCAGAAUCCAGAUGGAAGAACUCUCUGUGGACUGAGUAAGGAAACACCAGGGGAAGGUCAUCAGUGGGCCUUGUUGAUGUUCUACAAAUGAAAUAACUCUUGCUGAGUUGCGGAUCACUACUUUCUUAAAGACCGGUGUCGAGGCAUACAUAUUUUUAAAUGAAUUAAACAUUUUUUUCUGUGUUUCUAGCUCUACCCCCUGCUUGAUGGGUUUCUGAGCCGUGGCCUGAGGCCAUUGGUAAAUGAGCAUCUGUGUCUUCUAUAUUCUAAGUGAAACAGUCGUAUGUUUGACAGAGAACUACGUGUCACUUGCCAAUUCUUUUCAUGCUGUAGGAAAAUGAGUAUGAAAGAACGUUCUACGGGGUGUUUAGUUGUGCACUUAAAUCAUCUGCAUACAAACAAGAGACAUGAAGAGUUGCUCAUAAACGCUGUUGUGUUGUUUAGAAAGUAUGUGGAUGAAAUGGGUUUGUUGGUGAAGUAGGUCUUCCACAGAUGCUGUGGUGCCGAUAGAACCCAUCUGGGAUUAUACUUUCAUAUAUAUUUUCAAGCAACACAAGGAGGAGAUCACAGUUUCUUCUUUACUAGAUCUUCAAAUGUAAAAGAGGAUUUUUAAUAGAGCAGCAGAAAUUCCUGAAGCCACUCAGAACAGUAAUCCUCACAAAAUGAACUAGCAAUCGAACAGAUGAGCCUGGUGGUGUCUAUUAAAAAAGAGUAGGUUUCAAUAAAUACAUCAUCUCUCCCUUUUCUAUCUUCCCUCUAGUUCUAUUUUGUAUCAGAUUUAAUAGGAUUUAGGUGAGAUUUUUGUGGUUCAUAGAACUAUAAUAUUGGAAGAUAAAAGGGAGUCUUAUACCUCCAUAUGCUACUCUGUAGGCACAGAUAAACACUUUCCCUCCAAACACAAAAAGGCCAAACAAAUAAGUGCCUAAAAAUCAGAAAUUCCACGCCAAAGAUGAGCUGAAGUAUGAACACAGGAGAAAGAAUGUGAGCACUGCAGCAAAUCAGUCCAAGGUGGCAAUCCACUUACUGAAUGUGACCUUGGGCUAGGUCUUGAAUUUCUGGGUUUUAGUUUCCCCACUGGGAAAAGAAGGAAGAAUCAAACUUACCUCUGAGGCCUCGGGGGUGGGGGGUGGGGGGGCACGUAGAACAUCUAUAAACUGCCUGGCAUGCAUACAAUAAAGCAUAGCUUUUGUGAUUAUAUUUAAAAUAGAGCCAAUUUGAACACAUGGUGUGUUCAAGAGAACCUCUUCCAAGUAAUCACAUGCAUAAACAUCCCCAGCACUGAAACAUGCAUCUCUCAUUAUGCACUAGAAUCGCCUGUCACUGCCUUCCUCCACAAUUUCCAGGAUUUAUGAUGGGAGGUUAUACCUGGGCAUGAAUGAAAUGUAAUUUUUUAAAAACCUGGCAGGCUUUGGCUAUUUGGAUGCUUGUAUUAUUAUUCUGAAAGAUAAAGUGUACUUUAUCUUUCAGAAGUCAUAAAUACUUGAGAGCACAGAGUAGAUGUCUUUUCUAGCAAAGUCUUAAUCGUGCCUUUCAACAAAAUGAGUUAAGGAAGUGUACCUUCUUUUUUUUUCUUUUUUCUUUUUAUUCAAGUGCACUUUCUUAUACCCAGCAAGAGGUCUUUCUUAAAAGCCCAGCUGCCUUGAAUUCCUCAUAGAUCUGGAAAUCUGAGUGCUCUUUCAAAGUUGCAAUGAGUCGCUUGCUUUUCUGAACCACCAAAGGA
rnacentral:lncRNA from 1 species